UGCAGACCGUGGAGGAGAAAGGAGAAAAAGGAAUGGCCUUCAGAUGAUCAGAGAAAGUACCUGAUGCUGGAAAACAGGAAACUGCAUCAUGUCAGCAAACUGUGCCUUUUGUCGUGCACUGUUACAACUUGGCAAAAGAAUACUGAAAUCAGAGGAUCCAAAGAAACGAGUUGUCACCAGCUAGCUGCAGAACACCAAGCGAGUCAGCUACCUCUGGGCUCAAUGUUUCAUCUGUGAAAGAAGAGGCCAAAUUAUGCUACAGUCUGUGUUUCCAACAAGUUCUCAUUCUCCAUGAGAUAUGUUAUCUAACACUUUAUGGCUUAUUUUACCUACUUGAGGAUAAGGUAAUUUUAAAUUUUAAAAUGUUUGCUUAAAUGUCCAAAUUUUGACAAUGAAUAGUUCUCUGAUCCUCAUUCCAUUAUAUUCAAGCUAUUUCUUUAUAGAAAGAUGUUGUUUGUGCCACUCCAAUGAAACUGAAAAGAGAAUAUAAUGACAGCACCAACAGGAAUGUAAGAUGCAAAUUCUGCAAACCAGACAGAAGAGGGAGCUAUCCAUCUGAAAAUUAACCAAUCCUUUCAAAAACAUGUCAAAUAAAUAUAGAAACAAAUUCGAAUAUAAUCAAGUCUUAUUUAGUCUUAUACUUAAUAACAACACCAUAAACUUUCUGGUGCAUUAAAAAUGAGAAAAUAAAGCUACCAGCAAUGGCGAAAACAUUGAGGUAAUUAAUGAAGAGGCAAAAAAUAUAAACCAUUGAAAGGCCAAUGAAAAAUACACUCGCACUUUAUGGCUUGAUCUCACAUUUUAUAGCAAAAUGUAGAACCAGAACAUACCUCCAAAAGCUGAAAUAACAUUCUGCAACUGCACACAUCACUACUAUUACCUUCCUAUAGACUUUGCUCAUAAAAGGGAAUUCUUUCUUUAAAAUUGAUAACAUCUGGAAAUAAUGCAAAAAAGAAAAAACUGUUGGGCUGCAUCUGUCUUGAAAAUACUAUGUAAUAAGAUUUACUUAAUAUAUUUGAAAGAGGAAAAAAAAUGUUUUGUUCCCCAAUUUGUUGCAACAUCUGAAAGUUCAUGAGGUUAUGACCUCUCUUUAAGAAAGCAUCUCCCACCACCUGCAAAUACCCCAGGAAAAGCAGUUGGAAACAAUAAAACACGUGCUAGUUAACUGUUACCAGGGAAACGGUUCUGGUUCACCAAUCAGAGCGCCUGUGCUUCCCAGUGGCUUUGUCUGAGGGAGACAUGCGCCAGCUGUUAGUGAAUAACCAUUGUUAUAGAUCAUCAGGAAAUCACAGUCAGCAGGCAACCCAGCCCCACUGGAAGUUUAUUUCUCAUAUUUGUUCAUCACCAGGGCAAUCCUCCACCUUUAAAACAUCCCCUCAGGCUGGGUUAACUAAAUAACACCCUGCACGAGUAGGCUCAUUUAAAGGAGACAAGUUGCAAAAUGGUCUCUGCACAGCAAACAGAUUUCUAACUUUAAUUCCAACCACAUCACCCUCCUGCCCCUUCCCUUUUCAAGGGCUAUUGUAGGGCAAAUAUCUUAAGUCUCCACCUCUUUGAGUGCUGUUCCUCCUCUCUGUGAUUGGGCACUUAGCCACACACAUGUACACACUCCAAGGGCUUUCAUACCUUACCUUCCAAGACCUACGGAAGGCUGGGCAGUUCCCCAUGCUAGAGAUGGUGCCCCUGGGAAAGGAGAGGCUCUGCAGGGACUGUGUAGGCCACCAUAAGCGAAAGGACCAAGAGGACAAAACCCUGGCUCCUCCCUCACCUACAUGCAUAUUUCAAGUAGACAGCCCCACUUCUGUUGAUUUUAUAUUUUGAUAAUAAACGUAUAAAUUCAUAAAUUUCUUUUGCUUUUACAAGUUUAAAAAACAGCUCUACACCUACCCAGUCAUCAGUCAUCUUAAAAAAUAAAAACACCUAGACUUCUAGUUUCAGGUCCAGUUACGAACUUAGAAGUCACCAUAAUGUCCUAACAAGUACAAAGCUGUAUAAACUGAAAAAUGAAUGACUCUUCUUAGAUCAAAGGAGUGAGGUCACAGGGCAAACUGCUGCUCCUGCAAUUGGAAAAACAGACAGGCAGAUCCAGAAAACCACCACUUACCAGAGAAGAAACCCAGGAACACAAACUUCUUUGGGAACCAGUGGUAGGGAAGGAAAACCAGAACUACAAUUACUGGAGAAUCAGCACCAACGAGUUUGAGAGUUAAAAGCUACAGGGGGAUUGAUUAUAGAGGGACCCCCUAUAUGUAACCUAUUGAGGGUCAAAGAUGAAAAUUGCAUCUAACUGGUCCUCAGAAACCAUGCAAGUAAGAAGAGAAUGUUGGAAGAUACUUAAAUUGCUGAGAGAAAAACACCAUUUUAGAAUUCUGUACCCUGUGAACUUAUCAUUCAAAAGUAAAGAAGAAAUAAAGACUUUCUCAAACAAAUAAAAAUUGAGAAAUAUGGCGCCAGUAGACCUGACUUGCAAACAUUAAAAUUUCUUCAG